rnacentral:rRNA from 1 species
AUACGGAGGAUCCGAGCGUUAUCCGGAUUUAUUGGGUUUAAAGGGUGCGCAGGCGGCCAUUUAAGUCAGCGGUUAAAUCGUGGGGCUCAACCCCAUUCUGCCGUUGAUACUGGGUGGCUUGAUUGCGGUCGAGGUUGGCGGAAUUCGUUGUGUAGCGGUGAAAUGCAUAGAUAUGACGAAGAACACCGAUUGCGUAGGCAGCUGACCGGACCGCAAAUGACGCUCAUGCACGAAAGUGCGGGGAUCGAACAGGAUUAGAUACCCUGGUAGUCCGCACAGUAAACGAUGAAUACUUGUUUUCGGCGAUAUAAUGUCGGAGGCAAAGCGAAAGCGAUAAGUAUUCCACCUGGGGAGUACGCCGGCAACGGUGAAACUCAAAUGAAUUGACGGGG